GAUGAACGCUGGCGGCGUGCCUAAUACAUGCAAGUCGAGCGAACAGACGAGGAGCUUGCUCCUCUGACGUUAGCGGCGGACGGGUGAGUAACACGUGGAUAACCUACCUAUAAGACUGGGAUAACUUCGGGAAACCGGAGCUAAUACCGGAUAAUAUAUUGAACCGCAUGGUUCAAUAGUGAAAGACGGUUUUGCUGUCACUUAUAGAUGGAUCCGCGCCGCAUUAGCUAGUUGGUAAGGUAACGGCUUACCAAGGCAACGAUGCGUAGCCGACCUGAGAGGGUGAUCGGCCACACUGGAACUGAGACACGGUCCAGACUCCUACGGGAGGCAGCAGUAGGGAAUCUUCCGCAAUGGGCGAAAGCUUGACGGAGCAACGCCGCGUGAGUGAUGAAGGUCUUCGGAUCGUAAAACUCUGUUAUUGGGGAAGAGCAAAUGUGUAAGUAACUAUGCACGUCUUGACGGUACCUAAUCAGAAAGCCACGGCUAACUACGUG
rnacentral:rRNA from 1 species